rnacentral:rRNA from 1 species
UCCAGACUCCUACGGGAGGCAGCAGUGAGGAAUAUUGGUCAAUGGGCUUACGCCUGAACCAGCCAAGUCGCGUGAGGGAAGACUGCCCUAUGGGUUGUAAACCUCUUUUGUCAGGGAGCAAUUGGCGCUACGUGUAGCGUUAUCGAGAGUACCUGAAGAAAAAGCAUCGGCUAACUCCGUGCCAGCAGCCGCGGUAAUACGGAGGAUGCGAGCGUUAUCCGGAUUUAUUGGGUUUAAAGGGUGCGUAGGCGGAAUGCCAAGUCAGCGGUAAAAUCGCGGGGCUCAACCCCAUCCAGCCGUUGAAACUGGGGAUCUAGAGUGUGCGAGAGGUAUGCGGAAUGCGUGGUGUAGCGGUGAAAUGCAUAGAUAUCACGCAGAACCCCGAUUGCGAAGGCAGCAUACCGGUGCACAACUGACGCUCAGGCACGAAAGCGUGGGUAUCGAACAGGAUUAGAUACCCGUGUAGG